UUACCACAGUUUUUGUUGCCUUAUGGUUCCAAGCGCUUUCCCCAGUCUUUGCAUUUUGUUAUUAUCUCAUAACACUUGUUUAAUCAGCGACCAUCUCUCCUAUGGACGUUUUCCUGUCUACAGUCCCAGAUCAACACAGCCCUGCCCUCCAGCACUAUCAGCAGCGGGAGCAGCAGAAACCCCUCAACAGCAACAUUUUACCCCACCAGCACCCGCCCAGUCACCGUGAGGGAGAAGCUGUGCACCUGAGACAUCGAGCUUCUGGUUGUUUCCCUGUGCCCCUACUACCUCCUCAGAGAAUUCCCACAGCUUUUCAUCAUCUUGGCCCUGACAACAUCAGCAGUGGAGUCCUGAGGCACUGUGCAGGGCAACUAGGAAGUGUGUUCCGGACUCACUGUUAGGAUCCACUGAUUUAGUCACUGAUCAACCUUCAGUCACGUAGGAGGUCAGAGCUUCAUGUUUAUGGGAUUAAUGUGCAGUUUUAUUGAAUCUGUAUUUAUCUGUAAACAGGGUUCAUACGGGUGCUUGAAAUAUGUGAUGUUUGGUGCAGUUUUCCUGUUUUGUGGGGGAAGAAAUGCUUUUUAAGUCAACCUAAGAUGAUUCGUUUUCAUUUUCACAUGGUCUUAGUGAGGUGAUGCAAAGUGAAACAUGCUUUCUGUUUGUUUGUUUUUUCGGCCAUGUGCUGGGAAAGCUUGAACAUGGACCUUGAAAGUGCUUAAAAAGUGCUUGAAUUCGAGCCAGAAAAAGGCGUAUGAACCCUUGAUUGGGAGGUAUAUAAUAUUAAAAUUGAAAUAUUAUAUAAUAUCAAAAACAUAUUUUUAAACAUUCUUUGAAUCAAAUGUGUUUAAAAGAAUGUUUGUCUUUGAAUCCAAAUAUAAACAAUUGAAGGGCAGCUCAACACUUUUGCACAUUACUGUGUCCUGUUGAAGGAAAUACUGACAGGUGUUUGCUUCAUACAUGGAUUACAGAAGGAAAGAAAAGAGAAGAGACUUUUUAAAAAUCGGUUUCAGGUUAGAGGGUAACCGCUGUGCCGUCUGGGCUCACCAAAAUUUUUUUAGAUCAGACUGCGUAGUUGUGAACUGAGUUUUGUAACUUUGUGUUUAGCAUUAAGUGUUGUGUUGCUGAUGAAAGUCCUGCUGGCAGAAAUGACCUUCAGUCAGAAAGGUUGAUGGUCUGGAUGAAGGAUCACAAACACGUGAUUGCAGUUCCUGCUGCAGAGGGUGGAACAACCAGUUAUUAGGUUUAGGAGGCAGUUACUUUUGCAGAUAGGGCAGGUUUGGAGAGUGUUUUUCCCUUUAUAAAUAAAACCAUAAUUUAAACAAUACUUUUUGUAAUAUCUUUAUUAUCUUUGUCUAAAAUGCAAACAAGUUUUAUAAUCUAAAACAUGUAUCAAACAGACAAAUAUGCAACAAUAUCACACACAGACCUGUUUCAGGUGUAAAUGUAGAUAGAUGAUGUCAGCCCUGCAGUGUGUUCAUACACUCGCUGAAAAUGUUUGUAGCAGAGGAGGACGGGGUAAUACCUGGUGCCGCAGGUCACCCCAAACCAAGCUGAUCCCUCCUCCCAUGAUUCACAGCUGGAUAGGGAUCUUCUGGAUCUUCCCGCCCACUUUGCCCCUUUGAGCCCGCCCACCUCAUCUCGCUGAGCCCUCUGAGCCUGCAGCUGCUUUUAAUGAGUGGCGUGUGCGAGCCUCUCUGUUGCAGUUCUGACAUCCUUCGUUUCAGGCCUUUCGUUCUCUGCCAUCGUCGCCAGUCAGCAAGCGUCCGCCCUGUCCAUGUACCUGCCCGCACGGUGUUCCGCCAGCAGAGGGCGCUCGGUGUCUUACACAUCAGUAGCCGACACCUCGCUAGAAGAGUAGUGCAGAGCUGGCGCACCAUGUCGUUCGUGAUACCUGCUGUUUCUCUGUUUUUACAGUCCCAGAUCAACACAGCCCUGCCCUCCAGCACUAUCAGCAGCGGGAGCAGCAGAAACCCCUCAACAGCAACAUUUUACCCCACCAGGUAAAACAUAGGCUAUAUUUGCUUUGCCUUAUCGCCACCUCACAACACUGAUAUAGUAUGAUGCGAUCUCAUAUUAGAUUCUUGAUGAAUGUGUGUUGUUGUUAUUCAGCCUGGUUUAAUGUGCCCCUUUUUAACUUGAGCACCCGCCCAGUCACCGUGAGGGAGAAGCUGUGCACCUGAGACAUCGAGCUUCUGGUUGUUUCCCUGUGCCCCUACUACCUCCUCAGAGAAUUCCCACAGCUUUUCAUCAUCUUGGCCCUGACAACAUCAGCAGUGGAGUCCUGAGGCACUGUGCAGGGCAACUAGGAAGUGUGUUCCGGACUCACUGUUAGGAUCCACUGAUUUCGUCACUGAUCAACCUUCAGUCACGUAGGAGGUCAGAGCUUCAUGUUUAUGGGAUUAAUGUGCAGUUUCAUUGAAUCUGUAUUUAUCUGUAAACAGGGUUCAUACGGGUGCUUGAAAUAUGUGAUGUUUGGUGCAGUUUUCCUGUUUUGUGGGGAAGAAAGACUUUUUGAGUCAACCUAAGAUGAUUCGUUUUCAUUUUCACAUGGUCUUAGUGAGGUGAUGCAAAGUGAAACAUGCUUUCUGUUUGUUUGUUUUUUCGGCCAUGUGCUGGGAAAGCUUGAACAUGGACCUUGAAAGUGCUUAAAAAGUGCUUGAAUUCGAGCCAGAAAAAGGCGUAUGAACCCUUGAUUGGGAGGUAUAUAAUAUUAAAAUUGAAAUAUUAUAUAAUAUCAAAAACAUAUUUUUAAACAUUCUUUGAAUCAAAUGUGAAGGGCAGCUCAACACUUUUGCACAUUACUGUGUCCUGUUGAAGGAAAUACUGACAGGUGUUUGCUUCAUACAUGGAUUACAGAAGGAAAGAAAAGAGAAGAGACUUUUUAAAAAUCGGUUUCAGGUUAGAGGGUAACCGCUGUGCCGUCUGGGCUCACCAAAAUUUUUUUAGAUCAGACUGCGUAGUUGUGAACUGAGUUUUGUAACUUUGUGUUUAGCAUUAAGUGUUGUGUUGCUGAUGAAAGUCCUGCUGGCAGAAAUGACCUUCAGUCAGAAAGGUUGAUGGUCUGGAUGAAGGAUCACAAACACGUGAUUGCAGUUCCUGCUGCAGAGGGUGGAACAACCAGUUAUUAGGUUUAGGAGGCAGUUACUUUUGCAGAUAGGGCAGGUUUGGAGAGUGUUUUUCCCUUUAUAAAUAAAACCAUAAUUUAAACAAUACUUUUUGUAAUAUCUUUAUCUUUGUCUAAAAUGCAAACAAGUUUUAUAAUCUAAAACAUGUAUCAAACAGACAAAUAUGCAACAAUAUCACACAAAGACCUGUUUCAGGUGUAAAUGUAGAUAGAUGAUGUCAGCCCUGCAGUGUGAUGUCAGCCCUGCAGUGUGUUCAUACACUCGCUGAAAAUGUUUGUAGCAGAGGAGGACGGGGUAAUACCUGGUGCCGCAGGUCACCCCAAACCAAGCUGAUCCCUCCUCCCAUGAUUCACAGCUGGAUAGGGAUCUUCUGGAUCUUCCCGCCCACUUUGCCCCUUUGAGCCCGCCCACCUCAUCUCGCUGAGCCCUCUGAGCCUGCAGCUGCUUUUAAUGAGUGGCGUGUGCGAGCCUCUCUGUUGCAGUUCUGACAUCCUUCGUUUCAGGCCUUUCGUUCUCUGCCAUCGUCGCGAGUCAGCAAGUGUCCGCCCCGUCCAUGUACCCGCCCGCACGGAGAUGAGAACGGUCACACACACACUCGAGCUCAACGUAAAACAAAUGGAGAAAUGUGCUUAUGGAUGUGGAUCCAUCGAUUAUUCACUUUAUUCAGUAAUAUGUGGCCUCGUUAAUAAAGAACUGACCUGCCUAAUGUACUGCAAAGCACAUGUACAUAUAUUUCAGGAUCACUGUAACCUCAGUGGCUUGAAAUAAACUUUAUUUUGGAGUUAAAUAUUUUGAUUUUGGGCAGUUUUCUUUAGGAAACAACUUUUUCUAGUCAUUCACAUUUAUUUAACCCUUAGAUGCACACGUGGGGUCAAAAAUGACCCCAUGGGUUGUUUUUCUUCAAAAUCUUUAAAAAGCAAAGUUGUAGUAUAUUCAUAUUCCAGGUAUUCCUCAUAAAACAUGUUUGUAACAUGAGGCCAUUUGCAUUUUUAUUUAUUUUUUCAUUAAUUUAAAAAAAAUGCAGAUUUUGUAUCACUACCCCACUCUUCCACAAGUGGGGUCGAAAAUGACCCCAAGCAGUUACUAUGGAAUCUUCUAUGAAACUUUCAUUCUUAGCAACUCUGACUGACCCACUUACACUUCUGAUGGAUCAAGAAUUAAUUUUUACAUCAUGUAUGUUACUGUAUGUUACACAGUAACAUACAUGAUUUAUAGUCAGCGCUGCACAUAAGUGGUCCGCAGGUGUGCAUUCGCUGUCAAAAUUAAAGUAUUCUCGGAAAUUCAGAGAAUAUGCGCUUCUUUUGUGGUGGAGGAAUACCAAAGUAAUUGCUUACAGAGCUUGCUUAUUCGACAUCUUUAAGAGUUCUGAACAAAUGUCUGUCCUCCUCCAGAACAUCUAAUGUACGAAAACGAGCAUUCCAACUUCUUAUCUGGUACGCGUCUUUUAUUUUGACAUCGACUGUGCACCUGCGGACCAUUUAUGUGCAGCCCUGUUUAUAGUUUCCUGUGCAUUUCAAAAAUUGUCCUUUCUGAUGUUUUUUUUAAUAUUUAAAGUAACAUGGCUGAAUAUGAGGCCAGCUAGGAUCCCUGUGGACCUACAAAUGAUCCAGGACGGAUGGGAUGAAGAGCCCAUCGGAGUCACUGACUCAGAAUCUGACAUCUAAGAUAUAGAGGACCCAGACUAUUGUCCCCCCCCACUGAACAAGGCCAGUCAGAUACAGAGGAGUCCUCUGAUGAGUCCUCUGAAGAGGAAAUGGAUAUUGAGUCUAACAGAAUGAGCCCCUCUUACUGCUUUAGCCACAAUAUUCUGAAUUAGUCAGCCAGGACUUGCACCUGGGUUUAGUACUGUCUCCCCAGUAAAUGCAUGGAAGAUGUUCAUGUCUGAUAAUAUAAUAGAAGAGGUUCUGACAUGCAUAAACAUGGAGGCACGAAGAGUCGCCACAGACAGGGGAAAAGAGUGGAAAAAUGUAAUCAAACAUAAGCUCCAAGCCUUCAUUUGAUUGACCAUUCUUGCAGGAAGUGAGAAGAACUGGGAUGUACCAGUUGGUGUGUUUUUUGGGAGUCCUCUGCAUAACCCAUUGUAAAAGGCCACUAUGUCAAUUUAAAGAUAUUCGCCGUUUCUUGCACUUUGAUGACAAGAGGACCAGAGCCUACCGACUGAAAAUAAACCACAUGGCAGCUUUCUGCUACAUAUGGGGCCUGUUCCUGGUCAACUGCAGACUGCAAUUCAUCCUCAGUGAUUGUGUUACAGUGGAUGAACAACUUGUGCCUUUCAGAGGGAAGACCCAGCUUCUGCAGUAUAU